rnacentral:rRNA from 1 species
GAUGAACGCUAGCUACAGGCUUAACACAUGCAAGUCGCGGGGCAGCAUGGGGUUGCUUGCAAUCCCCGAUGGCGACCGGCGCACGGGUGAGUAACGCGUAUCCAACCUGCCCUUCACCACGGGAUAACCCGGCGAAAGUCGGACUAAUACCGUAUGUUGUCCAUUGACGGCAUCCGAUUUGGACGAAAGGUUUGGCGGUGAAGGAUGGGGAUGCGUCCGAUUAGCUGGACGGCGGGGUGACGGCCCACCGUGGCGACGAUCGGUAGGGGUUCUGAGAGGAAGGUCCCCCACACUGGAACUGAGACACGGUCCAGACUCCUACGGGAGGCAGCAGUGAGGAAUAUUGGUCAAUGGGCGUAAGCCUGAACCAGCCAAGUAGCGUGCAGGAUGACGGCCCUAUGGGUUGUAAACUGCUUUUAUGCGGGGAUAAAGUGGCCCACGUGUGGGUUUUUGCAGGUACCGCAUGAAUAAGGACCGGCUAAUUCCGUG